GUGCUUGCUUCAGCAACACAUAUACUAAAAUUGGAACAAUACCGAGAUUAGCAUGGCCCUGCGCAAGAAUGACACAAAUUUGUGAAGUGUUCCAUAUUAGA
ensembl:snRNA U6 U6 spliceosomal RNA